UUACAGGAAUCAGUGUCAUUCAAGGACAUAACUGUAGACUUCAGUAGGGAUGACUGGCAACAAUUAGACCUUGCUCAGAAAAGCCUGUACAGAGAAGUGAUGCUGGAAAACUAUUUCAACUUGAUCUCAGUGGGAUGUCAAGUUCCCAAACCAGAAGUCAUCUUCAGCUUGGAACAAGAAGAGCCAUGUAUGCUGGAUGGUGAGAUCUCCGGUCAGAGCUGUCCAGAGGACUGAAAGUGAACUUGGUAAUGAAAAGGUACCAGUGGAUAAAAAGUCAAGGAAAGGGUCAAGGUGAAUGACAUGAGAGUGGAGAGAAAAAAAGACAGCAGGGACCAGACGAACCCAAGGUACCUGUGGAUUGACUGCCCGCCCACCUGCUGGAGCCACGAACAUUGCCUGCUCCCAGUCUUCCUGAUUUGGCAUAUGGUUCUCCCAGAUCUGCUAUUAAUUUCACAUCCUCCAAAAAAGAAAACUGACCAGCUUACCAAACUCACAAGAGUCCAGUGUGCACCAGAAAGCUAAUUUAUUGAUCUGCAGCAGAGAUCUGUCCAACCUCAGGGUGUCUUCAUAACUGUAGUUUCCUUGUGCAGUGACAGUAUGCGUGUGUCAAACAGCCUCAGUGCUUAUGGGCUGACCUGCAGGUCUACUACAGGAAUGUAUUAGACUCUGGAAAUGAUGUUAGAUGAAAAGCAAAUUCAAGCAAUUUUCUUGUUCAAGUUCGAAAUGGGUCAUAAAGCAGCAGAGACAACUUGCAACAUCAACAAUGCAUUGGCCCAGGAACUGCUAAUGAAUGUACAGUGCAGUGGUGGUUCAAGAAGUUUUUCAAAGGAGACCAGAGCCUUGAAGAUGAGGAGCUUCAUAAAGGGCCAUAAGAAGUUGACAACGACCAAUUGAAAGAAACCAUUGAACCUGAUUCUCUUACAACUACAUGAGAAGUUGCCAAAGAACUCAACAUUGACCAUUCUACAGUUGUUUGUCAUUUAAAGCAAAUUGGAGAAGUGAAAAAGCAUGAUAAGUGGGUGCCUCAUGAGCUGAGUGAAAAUAAAAGAGAAUUAUCGUUUUGAAGUGUUGCCUUCUCUUACUGUAUGCAACAAUGAACCAUUUCUUGAUUGGAUAGUGAUGUGCACAAAAAGUGGAUUUUAUAUGACCAGUGAUGAACAACUCAGUGGCUGGACUGAGAAGAAGCUCUAAAGCACGUCCCAAAGCCAAACUUGUACCAAAAAAAGGACACUGUCACUAUUUGGUGGUUUGCUGCUGGUCUGGUCCACUACAGCUUUCUGAAUUCUAGCAAAGCCCUUACAUCUGAGAAGUAUGCUCAGCAAAUCAGUGAGAUGCACUGAAAACUGUAAUACCUGCAGCCAGCAUUGGUCAACAGAAAGGGCCCAAUUCUUCUCCAUGACAAUGCCCGACUGCGUAACACAACCAACACUUCAAAAGUUGAAUGAAUUGGGCUACGACGUUUUGCCUCAUCCACCGUAUUCACCUGACCUCUCACCAACUGCCUACCACUUCCUCAAGCAUCUUGACAACGUUUCACAGGGGUCCACAACCAGCAGGAUGCAGAGAAUGCUUUCCAAGGAUUUGUCAAAUCUUGAAGCAUGGACUUUUAAUCUACGGGAAUCAAACAAACUUAUUUCUUGUUGGGAAAAAUGUGUUGAUUGUUAUGGCUCCUAUUUUGAUUAAUAAAGAUGUGCUUGAGCCUAGUUAUAAUGAUUUAAAAUUCAUGAUCCAAAACCACAAUUACUUUUGCACCAGCCUAAUAUUUCAGAGGAAGUGGGGCAGGUUUAUAUUCUGCCAUAUGGGGAAUCCUGGAUUGCCCUACCCUGAACUUGUGAGUUAUUCUAGUGAUACUCUCAUGCCUCUAGAAAUUAGCUCAGGGUAGCUGACUGCCUGGCCAGCUGCUUAAAGUGGCUCUGAUUUUAAAAUAUCGUGAGGGUAUAUAUUUUUCUUGUUUGAACUCUCAAUGCCCAGCUGUUUUAAUAUAGGUUUUAUUCUUAUUUAGGUAUGGCAAGACCAGCGGCUCAAAAGAGGACUGCCAUUGAAAAGAUAAUUUGUUACUCACAGUUCCCAAGAAGAAGAGGCACACCAUGCCAUGGGGCCAAAGGGAGGAUGGGGAAGCGCCAGGGUUGGUCAGGAGGCAGAGGGAGUGAAAAAAUUUGCAAGAGCCUUUAUUAUGGUUUCCAUGAGCCGGAACACGUGAGGCAGGGUAAGCAGGCUUAGGAUUGGCUGGUUUAAAUAAUUUCAGUGGGCUCUGGGGCAUAGGGGCUGUUCCUGGUUGUCUGAUACCUGGCCUUAGGAUAAUUAGAGAAGGGAAAUAGUGGCCCAGAGUGUGAGAGGGCAAUGAAGGAGGUGGUGGGAGUAGAGUCUGGGUAGGUUGCUUUGUAUUUGAAAGAUGAGCUCCCAGAUGAGUUGUUUCCCCACUCUAGGAAUUGACCUUCUGGGUCAGCAAAGUCCUAGAAGCCAAAGCAUCAGAACCCAGAAAAUAAAGGACAUGGUUGAUACACUACCACAAAGUCAUGCUCACCGACUGGUGACGUUCUGAGCUUCAACACUGAGAAGAUGGGCUGAACAGUGAGCUGCAGUGCUGAGCAGGAAAGACAAGGUCUCUGCGUUUGUGGAGUGGGGCCAAUGGAGUACAUGAACUUCUUGGGUUUCUGUCACUGCGGAUUGAAUCUCUGCUGUUUUCACAAGAAUAUAUUUUUUGGAGGUGUGUGUGAAAGGGAGGCAGCAGAGGGAUCAGUUCCCUAUGGGUCCUGCAGCUCAUGUGCCAUUUUAAAGAGUCCUCUGUGCCCUCGGCCCCCAUCACAGGGUGGGCAAUGAGGUCCUUCAUCCCAUGUGAGAUGAGAGGACCCCCUGUAUGCGGGGCACUUUGUGAAGUGCUUUCACACGCCUGACUUCCUGUGUCCCUCAUGACACACUCUGAGGUGGGUAUCAUGUGUGUUCUGGCUUCUCAAAUGUAGAAAACAUAGACUCCACAAGAUGAAUAGCUCACCUGAAGUUACCCAACUGCUAGGCCGGGUGGAAUUUGAACCUUGCCUUUCUUAGAGCUUGUCAAAGCUACAUGCAGUGUUGUUUUCUGGUGUGAAGUUCAUCUUGGCUAUGGGAAAUCAAACAAGUUAACUUAGUGAGUUUUACACUUUUUUAUCUCCUCUUUCCCUGCUCCCCCAACAGUGGAUAGCAUUUUUGCAUCUUUCACAGUUGGGAGCAUUCUGCUGCCACUUUGGCUGGAAAGUGGGGAGGGGAGGGAGACCUUAUGGGAGUUUUCAAUGGGCAUCCUCACCCCAGAUUUCCAGGUUUAUGAGUUUAGGAAGAAAAAGAAAUGUAGACAUGAUACUCACCAAAGCCUCUAUACCACCAAGAUUUUAGGUGGGAGGUCACAUCACCAAUAGGAAACACCAGUUAGGCUGCCCCCAGCCUUACUGUGUCCAUGCAUGUGGUCUAUCCCUGCCUUCCUUUCUGACAGUGGCCAGCAAGUCAGUGAAUCAGCUCUAGAAUGAGCCAUAAGUGAGGAUAUUCACGGUUUUUAUUCUGCCUAUUGUUUUCUGCCUUUCCAGAUUUGUAUAGAAGUUACUCAGAAGAGAGAAGGCAUGUGACAAUUUGAGUUUGUCCUUGAUGCCUUUGGCUGUGUUUUUGCAAGGCUGUGUCUAUAUACAUGAAGGGGUCAGUAAGUAGAGAAAUUUGAGAGGUUCUAAACAUGCCCUGUCCUUUCGGAUUCUAUCAGGCUUAUUCUUACAGGCAGAACCAUCCCAGUUGUAACCCUUGUGUCAGCAGUUCUGCUGGCUGAGAGCACAGAUGAAUAUUUAGACUGGUGGCAGGUUUCUUAGUGCACGUCCCUGCCUGGAAACCUGGAAAACGCACCAUAGCACUACAGCUUGUAAGCAUGAUAUUCUAGCUUGUCAGGAAAAGUUUUAAUAAGAAAUGUCAGGCAAUUGAAAGUCAAAUUCCCUUGCCAGAGGAACUAGAAAAUCUGUUUCAGGAAGGAGGCAUUCUGCAGAGCUGUACCUGCAGCAUGGAAGCUGCCCGAGGCCGGUGGUUCCCUGGCGGCUCUUCGUGCUAAGGGGCCUUACAGGAGAUUGGUUUGCUGGCUGCAUGCACACUGUCCACUGCUUGCUUCCCUGCAGGUUUUUAGCCUCAGCAGAUCUAGAGUAUGUCUUGGAAGUCUGCAUUCUUAAUAAGUGAGAAAAGCUUAGACAGAUGGCUCAGUAAAUGCCAAAGUCAUGUCAUAAUUAGGUCACAGCCGGACACUAUCCUUACAGAUAUGUUGGGGACAUCAUAUGAACUAUAUCUUCUUAUUUUC